rnacentral:rRNA from 1 species
AUUGAACGCUGGCGGCAGGCCUAACACAUGCAAGUCGAGCGGACGAAGGAGGCUUGCUCCUGGCUUCCGCUGCGGACGGAUGGGUAAUUCCUAGGAAUCUGCCUUAUAGUUGGGACUGAGGUCAGGACGCGGGCGCUGAUCCCACAUCCGUUCAGAGGUAGAACGUGAGGGAUCUACGGACCACAAGCUAUCUGAUGAUACUAAGUCAUAUAACCGAGCCGGAUUAGUUAGUUGGUAAGGUAACGGCUUACCGAGGCAACGAUGCGUAGCCGACCUGAGAGGGUGAUCGGCCACACUGGAACUGAGACACGGUCCAGACUCCUACGGGAGGCAGCAGUAGGGAAUCUUCCGCAAUGGGCGAAAGCCUGACCGAGCAACGCCGCGUGAGUGAUGAAGGUCUUCGGAUCGUAAAACUCUGUUAGUAGGGAAGAACAACUGUGUAAGUAACUAUGCACGUCUUGACGGUACCUAAACAGAAAGCCACGGCUAACUACGUG